CCUACGGGGGGCAGCAGUGAGGAAUAUUGGUCAAUGGGCGAGAGUCUGAACCAGCCAAGUCGCGUGAGGGAUGACGGUCCUAUGGAUUGUAAACCUCUUUUGCCGGGGAGCAAACUGCGGCACGUGUACCGCAUCGCGGGUACCCCGUGAAAAAGCAUCGGCUAAUUCCGUGCCAGCAGCCGCGGUAAUACGGAGGAUGCGAGCGUUAUCCGGAUUUAUUGGGUUUAAAGGGUGCGCAGGCGGCGCGUUAAGUCAGCGGUAAAAUUUCGGGGCUCAACCCGGGCGAGCCGUUGAAACUGGCGGGCUAGAGUGCGCGGGAAGUAUGCGGAAUGCGUGGUGUAGCGGUGAAAUGCAUAGAUAUCACGAAGAACUCCGAUUGCGAAGGCAGCAUACCGUCGCGCAACUGACGCUCAGGCACGAAGGCGUGGGUAUCGAACAGGAUUAGAUACCCCGGUAGUC
rnacentral:rRNA from 1 species